AUGCUCACACACUGCUACACACACAACACACACUGCUACACACACUGCUACACACACAGCUACACACACAGGUACACACACAAUACAUCCCUCUCCAUGACACCACAGGACAGAACACAACGCCCAACACACCCCAUCCCACUCAAUCACCCACCAGACCCAGACACUAGACACACUAGCAAACAAUAUUUCAAACUGAUACAAGCAAUACAUCACAAAGAAAUCAUGGACAUUGCACUCACUACUGACACACUCCCGUUAGGUAUGAAUAGACAAGUACAUAGACUCACAGACUUCAUCAAACCUUCCACUCCAACAAUAGACACACGCAACAAGAUCCAGGAAAACACUAACCAGUGGAUGAAAAACACCAUUUCUAUACUCCAUCAACAUUACGCAAACACAAUCAGGUCCAUAUCUCUAUCACCUUUUAACACAAUAGCAGCCCAAAUAGCCACCGGUUGGGCCCAUAAACGCUAUGGCCCAAGACUCACGGCCACCUCAUUAGAAACAUUCCAUACACUUUGCCAGGACAGCCAAGAAGCAACCAUCAUCACCACUUCUCUACAACCCCAAGCUACAACCAACAACUCAUCAACCCAUGCCUUAGCCACCAUCCCGGAAGUGGUUGAAGAAAACCUCUCACCACGACCAACUCCUUCACAUCACCCUCCACACACUGUUGAAAUAGCAACGUCAUCCACCCACACAGUCAUUAAAGGCCCCAGGAAAACACCGGCCUUCUUUCCACUAUUCACCCCGCAACUUACAUCACGUCCUAAGAUCCCUCCCGACACACUGACAUCACCUUCAGAACUCUCCCAGAACGAUUCUCCGGACCCAUCCACCCUAAACCUUACGGCCAGGCGGGUCACCGGGGGGCCUCCUCCACCCAAGGAAGACCCAGUUCCUGCCAUUGUACCCGUCCCCCCUACAAGUUCCCUCACUACUGAACAACCUGGUAAAAUUAUUUCCACCACACCCAAGAUACCCACAAUAGCUGCAGAUACCCACCACCCCAUCACCCAGCCGACCAUACAGGAUCACAAUUUAAUCACACAUAGUUUUCACUCCAAUGUCUCUGUCUCUCUCCCAGACAAGAUCCUCCCCUCUUCCCCACAGCUACCUUCCGCUGGUGCCCAGGUGGAUCUGACUGAGCUAGGGAUCCCAUCACAAUGCAGGCCGAAGCAGGCCAAAAUGAUGACCAGGGUGCCAAAAGUCGAUGCUGACUGCCAGACCACCCUAUCUGAGCCUCCUACCUCCCCACAAACAUCGGGGGAGUCUGCAUUGUUGGCUCAUCAGCCCCAGAGCACCAGCACACCCAUUGACCCAAACCUAACUUACCCUUCUUCCCCUCUGUUCCCCUCAUCCCCUCCAGUUACUUCUCCAGAGCCAAGUGACAGUUGGCCAUCUGUAUUUCCUAGCCCGUCUCAACCCUCAACACUUCCCACCUUUAGGCCAAAUUACCAUUUAGCUAGACCCAACCACAAAAUCCAGGACUGGGUCUUCAAAAGCAAUUCAAGUUUCCUCAUCCUGGGCGACUCCAACGUUGACCACUUCCCCGUACACACCAACCCAGACAUACAAAUAGACAGCUACCCCGGAGCAAAUGCUUACCAUUUCCUCAAAGUCUGUGAAAAUUCCCCCCCCCAACCCGAAUACCGAGAUCGUAAUCUUUGCCAUAGGCAUUAACAACAGAGACCAGGACCCAAGCAAAACCACAAUCAAGCAACUAAGGAGAUUAUUCCGUGCUGCUAAGCGGACCUUUCCCAAUGCAGCAGCCUACUUUCCCAUCCUCAACUACUCAUCCCAGUUAACACAGACACAACAGGACAAUUUGGAACUUAUCAACGAAACCAUGACAACACAUUACAAAACACUGCCGGAAAUCCCAAACCACCUCUUCAUUACAGAAAAAGACAACAUCACUUGGACCCCCUAUACAGCAAGACUCAUAUUUGCUAGCUGGCGCGGACAACUUCUUCCUGAAACCCCCGUAAUUUAAUUUUGCACUGAGCACAGAUUCUAAUCUCAAACCCAACCCCAACCCAAUCUCCAUCUCCAUCUCCAUCUCCAACCCUAACCCUAACCCCUAACCCCAACCCCUAACCCCAACCCCUAACCCCAACCCCCAACCCCAACCCCAACCCCUAACCCCAACCCCUAACCCCAACCCCUAACCCCAACCCCUAACCCUAACCCUACCUUCCCCCCAACCCCAACCCCAACCCUAACCCUAACCCUAACCCUAACCCCAACCCUAACCCCUAACCCAACCCCCAACCCCAACCCCUAACCCCAACCCCUAACCCUAACCCUAACCCCUAACCCCAACCCCUAACCCCUAACCCCAACCCUAACCCCAACCCCAACCCUAACCCUCUCCCUAACCCUAACCCUACCUUCCCCCCCAACCCUAACCCUAACCCUAACCCUAACCCUAACCCCAACCCUAACCCUAACCCCAACCCAACCCUAACCCCAACCCUAACCCUAACCCCAACCCUAACCCUAACCCUACCUUCCCCCCAACCCUAACCCUAACCCCAACCCUAAUUCUUACCCCAACCCCUAGGUCAAUCCUACCACAUAUCUACUUGCCAUUCCACCAAAGUCUUCUCUAACUGGGCGAUCCAACUCUCUCCCCUAUCCUGUCCGGAACUUCUCGAGCCCUGGCUAAUAGCUCCCCCCCCGGGGGGGCCCUCACCCUCCGCACUCCCCUGCUUUCCCGAUCAGUAGGCCAGUGCAAAAAAAGUUUUAUCCCAAACCCUGAAUCCUAACCCUAACCCAACCCUAACCCUAACCCAAACUCUAACCUUAACUCCAACCCUAACCCUAACCCUAAUACUAACCCUAACCCUAAUGCUAACCCUAACCCCAACCCUAACCCUAACCCAA
ensembl:lncRNA